rnacentral:rRNA from 1 species
UACGGAGGGUGCAAACGUUGCUCGGAAUCAUUGGGCGUAAAGCGCACGUAGGCGGACUGCUAAGUCGGACGUGAAAGCCCUCGGCUUAACCGAGGAAGUGCAUUCGAAACUGGCAGUCUUGAGUACGGGAGAGGGUCGCGGAAUUCCCGGUGUAGAGGUGAAAUUCGUAGAUAUCGGGAGGAACACCAGUGGCGAAGGCGGCGGCCUGGACCGAUACUGACGCUGAGGUGCGAAAGUGUGGGGAGCGAACAGG